AUAACGUAACGUAACGUAACGUAACGUAACGUAACGUAACGUAACGUAACGUAACGUAAGGUAACAUAACGUAACAUAACGUAACAUAACGUAACAUAACGUAACAUAACGUAACAUAACGGGCUCUUGUUCAGCAGUCGCAACUGGUUUUGUUAUGCCUUUAGAAUACCUGGUGUGCACAAUGCAACAGCAGCAGUUCCUUAAUGGCUGUGCAGGCACAAGCUGAAAGCAGUUGGAGGACAAGGCAUGUCCAGACCAGACCUGUGAUUCCGUAGGCAGAAUAAAGGGGAUUCUUCCAUGGCCAGUUGGAAGAAACUGAAGAAUCGAAGCUUGUGUAGCCUUAACAAAACACUGCAGAAGUGGGCUGAAAACACAAGGCUGUGAUGGCUCUGUCUGCUCAGGUCAUGGCCUAAAAGGUGCCUUUGUGGUUGCAACUGGAAACUGCCAGUGAAUCUCCCCAGCUAUCAAAUCAGAAGGAGGUCCAUAAAACAAGCAAGCACCUGCCUGGCUGUGUCAGGACCUGGAGCUGUUGAUUUCUGCUGAAUAAAAGACACUGUGGG
rnacentral:lncRNA from 1 species